UAUCCAAAAUCAAGAUAAAAAGUGCUCAAAUUUAAGUACUUCCCCAACACUUUUAUUUUGGAUACAUUUUUGUUUUGGUUGAUGGGUGUUUUUAACUUAAUUUCAAGGUUUAUUCCCAACACUCACCAGUGAGUUAUUUUGUCAAUAUGAAAGUAUCCAAAAUGAAGUUUUGGAACAGUACUUGAUUUUGGCUGAAAAUUCACUUAGCCAUAUUGAACGACGUUCAAUUUGUUGCUAAAGGUUUGUUUCUGAAUUUUAUAAAAUUAAAUUAAAGUUGCCUAAAAUGGAAUAAAAUUGAAAUUGCUUCGCUGCGGUGAUGGGACAAAAUGAUAAUUUUACCGACAAUCACCGAGGGUGACGACAUUUAUGGUUUUCUAGAGAAACCCCCAAAAAAGCUAUUUGAUUUUGCCACACAUCCCAUAAGAUCCAAAGCUUUCGUUUCAAGGUAUUAAACCUGAUAGCAACGGACAUGGCACUCUUCCUGCGGAAUCAUUGAAAAUCACCAAUUAAAUUCAACAUUAUUUGAUUUCCUCGUUUUAUAACAUUCUUGAUAACAAUUGAAAUAAAUAUAAACAUGAGCAUAUUUCAUAAUUUUGAUAAAA